rnacentral:rRNA from 1 species
UACGAAGGGGGCUAGCGUUGCUCGGAAUCACUGGGCAUAAAGGGUGCGUAGGCGGGUUUUUAAGUCAGAGGUGAAAUCCUGGAGCUCAACUCCAGAACUGCCUUUGAUACUGGGAAUCUUGAGUAUGGAAGAGGUGAGUGGAACUGCGAGUGUAGAGGUGAAAUUCGUAGAUAUUCGCAAGAACACCAGUGGCGAAGGCGGCUCACUGGCCCAUAACUGACGCUGAGGCACGAAAGCGUGGGGAGCAAACAGG